rnacentral:lncRNA from 1 species
GUCCUAUUUAUAAAAGCUAUUUAUUUUUUUUUUUUUUGUUAUUGAACACCUCAAACAACAGCACUAGAUUAAAAGUCAUGUCAUAAGUACAACAAAUUGUAAAUGAUAUUAUGCUUUUAAUAUAAUGUUACAUCAUCAUAACUGAAUAAGUCUAUUCCUUUGAUGAUUGGCAGUGAUUAAUUAUCUUGCUUUUACAGCCACUUAAUAUACUGCUGUUCAAUGUAUACAGAUGUGUUAACACACAGAGAUAUAGCUUAUCUGAUCAACAUAAGGACCAAUGAAAAUACAGGCUUCUGAAACCGUUUUACACCUGUACCCCAAAAAAUAAUCCCAAACAUUCUGCUUGUUGUUUUUUUCUGUGAUCUUUGCAAAUGCUGUGAGCAAAUAAAUGGUCAAAUUUUCCCAUGAACUGUAUACUUAUAUAUUCUAAGAACUUUCUAUAUAUUCCCUUCAGUAAUUAUAUUGUACCAAAGAAAAUGGCUCAUGAAUACAAAAAUUUGAAUGUAAACAGGAAGUUCUUUGUUCAUGUUGUUGGAGGCAAAUGGAAUAGAGCUAACUUGAAACUCUAAAAUGCUUUUAGAGAGAUAUCAGAUGAAAGAGUGUGCAUAUCUAGUUAUUAGAAGUAUGCCUAUGUAUGAAUUGAUGUAGUCAGAGAAAUCAGAUGGCUUCAGUGACUAUGCUACAGGAUGAUAUGAGAUCACAGACAGAAAUUCCAUCAAGAAUCAAACAUAAAUUACAGAAUAUUUCAACUAAAUUAAUUGGCUGGAAUGAAGUUCCUGACCCUGGUGAUGGUUUUGGAAAAGCAAAUAGACAUUCUGAUGCCACCUUGUAUUGAGCCUACAAUACUCCAAAAAUGAUUUUGUUGUAUUCAUAAUUUUCUAUCAAAUA